rnacentral:misc_RNA from 1 species
GUGAGUCAUCGAAUCUUUGAACGCACAUUGCGCCCGCCAGUAUUCUGGCGGGCAUGCCUGUCCGAGCGUCAUUUCAACCCUCGAACCCCUCCGGGGGUCCGGCGUUGGGGAUCGGGAACCCCUAAGACGGGAUCCCGGCCCCGAAAUACAGUGGCGGUCUCGCCGCAGCCUCUCAUGCGCAGUAGUUUGCACAACUCGCACCGGGAGCGCGGCGCGUCCACGUCCGUAAAACACCCAACUUCUGAAAUGUUGACCUCGGAUCAGGUAGGAAUACCCGCUGAACUUAAGCAUAUCAAUAAGCGGAGGA